rnacentral:lncRNA from 1 species
UGUAAAGGUAGGCCUCUUCUCUUCACUCUCCUGUCAGGGUAGGUCUCUUCUCUUCACUCUCCUGUCAGGGUAGGCCUCUUCUCUUCACUCUCCUGUCAGGGUAGGCCUCUUCUCUUUACUCUCUUGUCAGGGUAGGUCUCUUCUCUUCACUCUCCUGUCAGGGUAGGUCUCUUCUCUUCACGGUCCUGUAAAGGUAGGCCUAUUCUCUUCACUCUCCUCUCCUAAAAUUCACUCCCUGUCAGGGUAGGUUCUAUUCCUUCACUCUCCUGUCGGGUAGGUCGCUUUCUCUUCACGGUCCUGUCAGGAUAGGCCUCUUCUCUUCACUCUCCUGUCAGGGUAGGCCUCUUCUCUUCACUCUUCUCUUCACGGUCCUGUCAGGAUAGACUCUUCUCUCUCCUUCACUCCCAGUCAGGGUAGGCCUCUUCUCUUCACUCUCCUGUCAGGGUAGGCUCUUCUCUUCACGCUCCUGUCAGGGUAGGCCUCUUCUCUUCA